AUGGCGCUCGGUCAUCUGCUUUGGUCGCCGUGCCAAGUACGAAGAUGGGAAAGAUAAGACAGAAGCUUGAUCAGACGUGCAAGGAACGGAAGACGCAGGAAACUAGGUCAGUCAAGCAUUAGACGAAGAUGGCUAAAUCAGGCCAUCACAUGUCUGGUGCGGCUCUGCGGUGUUCUGGCACGGGGAUUUCCAGUUCUGCGAAGUUUUUCAACUUUCCCUAAUUACAGCAGCAGGUUAAGAAUGCCCAGUCACUGGUCACUACAUGUCCAGAAUGCUAGCUGAGCUCUGCGAGAAGAAGUGGGCUUAGUGUUCCUUGAACGCUCAGCGUCAGAGGAUACAGAGAGGUUCAGGCCCAUUAAAGCCAACAGGAGGCUUGAAAGACCGGACCCGGCAGUUUACGGCAGAGG